GAUGAACGCUGGCGGCGUGCCUAAUACAUGCAAGUCGAGCGAACGGACGAGAAGCUUGCUUCUCUGAUGUUAGCGGCGGACGGGUGAGUAACACGUGGAUAACCUACCUAUAAGACUGGGAUAACUUCGGGAAACCGGAGCUAAUACCGGAUAAUAUUUUGAACCGCAUGGUUCAAAAGUGAAAGACGGUCUUGCUGUCACUUAUAGAUGGAUCCGCGCUGCAUUAGCUAGUUGGUAAGGUAACGGCUUACCAAGGCAACGAUGCAUAGCCGACCUGAGAGGGGGAUCGGCCACACUGGAACUGGAACACGGUCCAGAGUCCUACGGGAGGCAGCAGUAGGGAAUCUUCCGCAAUGGGCGAAAGCCUGACGGAGCAACGCCGCGUGAGUGAUGAAGGUCUUCGGAUCGUAAAACUCUGUUAUUAGUGAAGAACAUAUGUGUAAGUAACUGUGCACAUCUUGACGGUACCUAAUCAGAAAGCCACGGCUAACUACGUG
rnacentral:rRNA from 1 species